AAUCAACGCUGGCGGCGUGCCUAACACAUGCAAGUCGCGCGCGAACGGGGGGCAACCCCCAAGUAGAGCGGCGAACGGGUGAGUAACACGUGGGUAAUCUACCUUCGAGUGGGGAACAACACCGGGAAACUGGUGCUAAUUCCGCAUGACAUCGUCGGGCCUUCGGUCCUGACGAUCAAAGACUGGGGAUCGUAAGACCUAGUGCUUGAAGAUGAGCCCGCGCCCGA
rnacentral:rRNA from 1 species